UCAAAGUCAGGCAUUUACUUGCACACCGUUCUUCUUGAGAUCACAGUAUGAUUUCCAAGAUUUUAUGUGUGCAUAUAGAGAUAUUUCGCACUGCUUGAGAUAUGCCCAUUGUAACAUUAACUGGGCAUAGGCUCCAAUGGAGUGGUGUACAGUAUUUACUUGAUUUUUUUUCCAUUGUGGACAACUAGUUGUCGGUAACUUUCUUUCUUUCUGAUGACAAGUCAGUUUAUCUUACUUUAUAGGAAUGUCAUGUAAUCAUGAUAUUAAUAUUAGCGUUGCAUUACAAUUUAGUGAUGAUGUGUACGUGAGAGAAACCGGGUGCUCCCUGAGCUGUUGUUAGCACUUGUAUCAGGACAAUUCUAGUAUAGUUUUGAUAGAGUGUUAACUUUUUCUUGUUGCACAUAUUCAUGUUAUUCUUGAAACCAGAUCAUGAUUUUCAAGGUUUAUGUAUGUGCAUAUAUAGAUCAUCCACAACUGCUUGAGUUCUCUCUGCUAUUAUGGAGUGAAACUCCAAUUAAGUGGCGAAUAUGAUUUUUGUGUGCAGUAAUCAUUACUAUUUGUUCAGUCUUUUUCACAUUUAUUUCCACUUGAGUGUAGGUUUUCUAGUACAUUGACUCCUAGUUGCACAGUCUUGUUAUACUUGAAAUCAGAUCAUGUUUUUCAAGGUUUAUGUAUGUGCAUAUAUAGAUCAUCCACAACUGCUUGAGUUCUCUCUGCUAUUAUGGAGUGAAACUCCAAUUAAGUGGCGAAUAUGAUUUUUGUGCGGAGAAAUCAUCUACUUGUUCUGUCUUGAGCACAUUCUUUCGUUUCAACUUCAGUAUUGGGUUUCUACUGGUACAUUAACUCCUUGUUGCACAUUGUCUUAUUAUUCUUGAAAUCAGAUCAUGAUUUUCAACUUUUAUGUAUGUGCAUAUAUAGAUCUUCCACAACUGCUUGAGUUCUCUCUACUACUAUGGAGUGAAACUCCAAUUAAGUGGUGUAUAUUUUUGCGUGCGCAUCAAUAGUUACUACUUGUUCAGUCUUUACUCUUUAGUGCAUUGUUUCAUUUGAACUCCAGUAUAGAUUUUCUAAUACAUUAACUCCUUGUUGCACAUACUCUUGUUCUUCUUGGAAUCACUCAAUGAUUUUCAAGAUUUUAUGUGUGCAUAUAUAGAGUAUCCACACUGCUUGAGUUCUCUCUGCUAUACUAGAAUGAAACUCCAAUUACGUGGAUUAUAUUUAUUACAGACAGAUUACUUAUUGCUAUAUUGUAGAGAA